UAACACUUCUGACUUCACCACCUUCAUCUCAUUUCAGGUUCCUAUUCAUCCAAAUCCUAACCGAGGCAAUAAAUCAUUGAUUUCUCCAUCUUAAUUUCUGAUUCUGCUCCGUGAGGUGACUGCUGAAUCAGAUGAGAACUGAUUCUGGUAACCAGUGGAAUGGGGGCGGCUAUUAUGGAAGGCAAAAUUAUGGAGGAUAUGGAUAUGGCGCAUCACAAAAUCAGGAUUCUGGCAUGUAUGCUGCUGGAGCAGCUUAUGGAGCUUCCUCUAAUGGCUACGGUAAUCACCAACAACCUGUUAGCUAAGCUCUAACGGACUCUGCUGCUAAUUGAGAGAUUGCCAAAACACUCUUUUUCUCUAAGGUAGGAUAAAGUUACUGUCUUUACUGGGUUAGAGACUUGUAUACUAGUGCUAAGACAACCUUUAGUUUUGUAAAACUUAGGGUUCAAAUUUAAGUCUACUUAAAAAUAUUAAAAGGAUAGUGUUUGGUUUAGAAUUUUCCAGGUGGGCUUUAGCAAACUUAAUCACUACAAUUCCUAUCCUUUUAGGAUAAAAAUGGUUUUCUUCCAUAGAGAGGUAAACAACUGAAUUCUUUUCAAAAUAGGUAAUGAAACAUCUUUUGGUUAGUUCAGGGACAAAUAAAGGUGAUGAGAAUUUUGUAGCUGAAUUUAUUUUAUGCUUAGUGAGUUCAAGAUAUGUGAAACUUAUACCUACUAGAGAUUUUGAGUUAUGAUGAUUGGUGAACUUAUUUCGAAUUCUGCUGCCUUUUAAACUUUUCUUGGUAUGUGUGUGUAUAUUUUUUUU